AGAGUUUGAUCAUGGCUCAGAGCGAACGCUGGCGGCAGGCCUAACACAUGCAAGUCGAACGAACUCUUCGGAGUUAGUGGCGGACGGGUGAGUAACACGUGGGAACGUGCCUUUAGGUUCGGAAUAACUCAGGGAAACUUGUGCUAAUACCGAAUGUGCCCUUCGGGGGAAAGAUUUAUCGCCUUUAGAGCGGCCCGCGUCUGAUUAGCUUGUUGGUGAGGUAAUGGCUCACCAAGGCUACGAUCAGUAGCUGGUCUGAGAGGAUGACCAGCCACAUUGGGACUGAGACACGGCCCAAACUCCUACGGGAGGCAGCAGUGGGGAAUCUUGCGCAAUGGGCGAAAGCCUGACGCAGCCAUGCCGCGUGUAUGAUGAAGGUCUUAGGAUUGUAAAAUACUUUCACCGGUGAAGAUAAUGACUGUAGCCGGAGAAGAAGCCCCGGCUAACUUCGUGCCAGCAGCCGCGGUAAUACGAAGGGGGCUAGCGUUGCUCGGAAUUACUGGGCGUAAAGGGAGCGUAGGCGGACAUUUAAGUCAGAGGUGAAAUCCCGGAGCUUAACUUCGGAACUGCCUUUGAUACUGGGUGUCUUGAGUGUGAGAGAGGUAUGUGGAACUCCGAGUGUAGAGGUGAAAUUCGUAGAUAUUCGGAAGAACACCAGUGGCGAAGGCGACAUACUGGCUCAUUACUGACGCUGAGGCUCGAAAGCGUGGGGAGCAAACAGGAUUAGAUACCCUAGUAGUCC
rnacentral:rRNA from 1 species